AUAUAGUAAAUUUUUAACACAAGUUCGCUACUAGAAAAUUCUGUCUAGUUGCUUCUGGCAGUUUAUCGUCGAUUCUGAUUUGUUCUGGUAAUCGUGUUCGCUAAAAUAUUAUAUAUAUAGGCUUCCUGGGGAACCACAUACUCAAAACAGAUCGAUAACGCGCCUAUAUUGCAUCCUCAGAGGUGGUGAGGAAAAACCAUAAAUAUGUAUAAUAAUAAACUUUUGUUUAAAAAUAUUUUUGCAGAUAUCGAUCAGGUGAUCUCAGCUGUAUUACACUCAUAGGAUACGGGUUAUUCUUUUGUUACUUGUUGGAUUAUACUGUGACGAACACGGAUGAUAGACAAAAUCGGAUCGACGAUAAUAAAGAUCUUCAUUGAGUAAAAAAUUAUUUCAUUCUAUGUUUAUUAUUGUAUAUCUUGACUUUAUAUACAAUUUUAAUUCUAUCUUAAGUAACUAAAUGUAUAUGUAUAUGUGUAUACUUGUAUAUAUUGUGGUACGACAUGGCAUUUUUAAACUAUUGCAUAGCUUAUCGCAAGCUUUGAGCGCAUCGACCGAAUAAAGAAAUUCCGUAACAGAAAGUUUGCGCAAAAUGAUUGCAUAGUUAUAGGCGUAUUUUCGCAUAUCUCAAGCGGAAUAAAUAAAUUAAAGAGCGGAAGAAUCAGGGUGAUUUGCAAAUAAGAACAUUUAAGAUACAAUAUUUUAAAGGCAAAUAAAAAUAUAGAAUUUAAUAAAAUAUUAA